AGAAAAAAACUACCUAUAUCAACUUACUAUAAAAGCAGGUAGUAAUUUUACCUUGUCCUUAUUCUUAGUGCAACUUCUGAAGAGUGCAGUUCGAUUUUAAUAGUUACUUUUUCAAAACUAUACUGGAAGUGACAAAGGAGCAUAUUCGGCAUAUUUUGCUUUAUGAUUUCAAUAAAGGCAACAACACAACGGAAAGUGCAAGGAAUAGUAAUGCAGUAUAUGGGGAUCAGACAACAAGCAUAAGCCAGUGUCAACAGUGGUUCCAGAAAUUCUGAGGCAGAAACUACAGCCUAGAAGACAAGCCUCAUCCUGGAAGAUCUGUAAAGCUUGACAAGGACAUCCUGAAAACACUGGUGGA